UACGUAGGGUGCGAGCGUUGUCCGGAAUUCUUGGGCGUAAAGGGCUCGUCGGCGGUUUGUCGCGUCGGGAGUGAAAUCCACUGGCUUAACUGGUGGCUUGCUUUCGAUACGGGCAGACUGGAGGUAUGCAGGGGAGAACGGAAUUCCUGGUGUAGCGGUGAAAUGCGCAGAUAUCAGGAGGAACACCGGUGGCGAAGGCGGUUCUCUGGGCAUGUCCUGACGCUGAGGAGCGAAAGUGUGGGGAGCGAACAGG
rnacentral:rRNA from 1 species